GGCAAGCCUGCCCAUUGUUUGGCAACUCAGCUUCCUGCCCCGGCACAAAUGGGAAAACAAACAGCAGGUCUGGGUGGCAUCUGUUGAACUAGAAGAGAGAAAGCAUCAAAGGAGGCAAGGAGGGCGGAGGCAGAUACCAAGAGCCAGUUACUGCAUCAACAUCCGCUCCCUUUCAAUCAGGCAGGAAAGACAGUUCUUAUAUAGUUUGGAUGGCAUCAACUGUCCAAGAGUAGGAGGCUGAGAGAGAACUGAAGCUCGCUGGAGUACAAGUCAUCUUUAGAAUGAAAACUCCAAAGAAUGUGCACUUCCUUUCUGACCAAUAAAAAUAUCUCCGUACAACCUGUUUCAGCAGAAGGCAUAAUUACAUCCACUCUCCACCACCAUGCAAAUGAAAGCAGAUUCGUGAACUGCUAUGCUGCAAAAUAAAUAACUUGAAGACAUAAGAUCUUUGGAAGAUGAAGUUGAACAGACAAAAAUUAUAAAAUUGAAAUUCCUUUGGGCUUUGUGUAUUUUUGUGUAUUCUUUAGUGUACUCAUUAGGGCAAUGUAUUUUGCCACCAACUUUGUUAGUAGCCUAAAUGCCCAGUUUGAUACUUUAUUUAGAAACCUCUGUCUGGGAAUAACACCAAUAUUAUACAUUCUGUGUUUUCCAUGACAUACAGAGUUGGAUCCUUCUUAAGUAUACGCAGAAACCUCAAGUUGUUAGUAGUAAGAAGCAUUUUACUAAAGAAACAUUCAAAAUCAUGUUGCAAGAAAAAAAAUCUGUGAAUGGACUGAAUUAAGCAAAACAGUUGAAAUUCAGAGGAAAUUUUACAACAGAUGUAACUGUCCUAAACUCUCACAUCAUUUGGACUCUAUUUAAGAUCGAGGAACUCUAAUCAUUGGCCAUGCCUGUUGGGAGUUGUAUUUCACAAGUAUCUACAAUGUCUCAGAUUUUCCACUUCUGCCUCAACCCAACCAGUAAGCAAUUUCUUGAAUGUAGCAAGAACAUUUCUACAUC